GACGAACGCUGGCGGCGUGCCUAAUACAUGCAAGUCGAGCGGGCCUCCGGAGGUGCUUGCAUCUCCGGAAGGCCAGCGGCGGACGGGUGAGUAACACGUGGGCAACCUGCCUUUGAGGCCGGGAUAACACCGGGAAACCGGUGCUAAUACCGGAUACGUCCUCUUUCGCGCCUGCGAGAGGGGAGAAAGACGGUCUUUAAGGCCGUCGCUCAAAGAGGGGCCCGCGGCGCAUGAGCUGGUUGGUGGGGUAAGGGCCUACCAAGGCGACGAUGCGGUGCCGACCUGAGAGGGUGAGCGGCCACACUGGGACUGAGACACGGCCCAGACUCCUGCGGGAGGCAGCAGUAGGGAAUCAUCCGCAAUGGGCGAAAGCCUGACGGUGCCACGCCGCGUGAGUGAGGAAGGUUUUCGGAUCGUAAAGCUCUGUUGUGAGGGAAGAACAGCUUCCGGAGGAAAUGCCGGAGGUUUGCCGGUACCUCACCAGAAAGCCCCGGCUAACUACGUGCCAGCCGCCGCCGUAA
rnacentral:rRNA from 1 species